AACAUUUCUUUGUCUGUGGUUUCCAGGGCUUUAGUUGCUGUAUUUAGCAGGAGGAAUAGGAAAAAGCACAUCGACUCUGUUUUCCCAGGAGCAGAGAUCUCUCAGGUGAGUUUGACUAGCUUUUUAUUGCAUACUUCUUUUUUUCUGAUAUAAAUCUUUAGGAGUUCCCAUUGCGGGGUCUAAUUGGAGCUAUAUCCACCAGCCUACACUAGCAAGGCUAGAUCUGAGCCAAGUCUGCAACCUACACCACAACUCGAGACAAUGCCAGGCCCUUAAUCCACUGAGCGAGGCCAGGGAUCAAACCCUCAACCUCAUGGUUACUAGUCUGAUACAUUCCUGCUGCUCCACAAUGAAACAUCCAUGACUCUGACAUUUUUGAAAACUGUAGUCCAGUAAUUACAUAGAAUAUCCUUCAGUUAUAUAGAAUUUCCUCAAUGUAUGUGAUGUUUCUCAUGAUUGGAUUUGCAUUUUUUUUCUAGCAGGAACAUUACAUGAAUGCUCUGUCUUUCUCAGUGCAUCUUAUCAGGUGAUACGGUAUAUCAAUAGGACCCAUCACUGGUGAUGUACAGACAUUGAGAGCUUGAUUAAGGGAAAUCUCCCUAGUCCUCUCCAUUGUCAAGUUUUUCUUUUAAUUUUUGUAACUAAGAAGCACUUUUCGUGGGGAGAUACUUUGAUAGUAUUUGAAUAUCCUAUCCUCAAUCCAACUUAAGCCACAAGAGGCAGCAUCCAUUGACAAUUCUUGCACACAUCAUUGUUGCCAAAAAGGUUGAAAAACUAUACUUUUCUUUAGGUGACUUAAGUUUAUUCCUUUUGUCUUGUAACCAAAAGAACCUGACUAAAGCCAAAGUUAGAAUGGAAUGUUUCUAUCAGGGGUUUGUAUGGCAAAGCCACUAAUUGGCCAACCCCUGGGGUCUCUCAGACUCUCUGCAUGGGUGCUCCAUUGGGGGGUGGGCGGGGUGUGAUGGUUUGGUGGCUGUAGCUCUGGAUCAUUUCUAAGGUGGCGGGGGGAUUGUUUUUGAGUGCUCUAGACUGGAUUAGUUACUGUAUUAUAAAUUCCUUACUAUCUUGCCAAACCUGUACUGAUACUUUGUUUUAGUAUAUGUGCUGCCAAGCAAGCACGGAUACUUUGUUUUAAUGUCUGUCUCCCUCCCUAGAGAGUAAGCUUUGGGACCUUCGGAAACAUAGCCCUUGAUCUAAGGGGUAGAAACUGCCGCAUGGAUUAAAGGAGAAAUGACCACGUCAAAUACGACACCUCUUUGGCUUGUCUCGCUGUGUCUCACGUCUCGGUUUUAUAUGCUUCCUCUGGCAUCUUUUUAUUAUAGUCUUAAUACUACCUGCACAUUUUGCUGAAAAGAUGCCAUUUUUUGGAGCCUGAAUUUGCCCUGCUCUGUCACUCAACACCAGUCCAGCCACUUUCCUGCAGGGGUAACAUUCAGUGUUGUGUGUUUUGCAGCUCCAGUGCCUGGCACGGUGUUUGAUAAAUAUUUAUUGACUGAGUGAGUGAAUGUAAGUAGGGGAGGCAGACAACAGUGGGUAGGGUCUGCGAUGUCCUGGCUGAAUAGCAAUUCUUGACUGUAAUGUGCUCAAAUCCAUCAGUGUUUCCCUUUAUGGUUUGCAGUUUCAUGAAUUUAAGAAAAUUCCAUGAAGGAGUUCCCAUUGUGGUGCAGCAGAAACAAAUCCGGCUAGGAACCAUGAGGUUUUGGGUUCGAUCUCUGGCCUCACUCAGUGGGUUAAGGAUCCAGCAUUGCUGUGACUGUGGUGUAGGCUGGCAGCUGUAACUCUGAUUCGACCCCUAGCCUGGGAACCUCCAUAUGCCGCAGGUAUGGCCGAAAAAGCAAAAAAAAAAAAAAAAAAAAAAAAAAAAAUCCAUGAAACUAACAUGACAUUGUAAAUCAUACUCCAAUAUAACAUAAAAAUUAAUAAAAAGGAAAAAAGAAGAAAUUCUAUCCCAAGGUCACAAAAUUACUCUCCUAUAUCUUCUUUUGUUAGUUUUAUAGUUUGGCCAUGUGUUCUAAAGUCCUUAAUCUAUCUGGAGCUUACUUUUUUUUUUUUUUUUUUUUUUUUUUUGGUCCACCCCCUUGGCAGGUGAGAGUUCCUGGACCAGGGAUUAAACCUGCAUCUGAGCCACUGCACUGACAACGCUGGACCCUCAACCCAUUGAGCCACAUGGGAACUCUGGAGCUCAAUUUUCUAUACGGUAUGAGGUAGGGCUAUAACUAUUUCUUUUUUUCUCUGUAGCUGAGGGGGCUA
rnacentral:lncRNA from 1 species